CAGAAAUCCAAAAUCCAAGGGGAUGCCUUUUUCGGCAAGCACCUGCCGGAAAAGGCAUCCCCCCUGUUAAAAAUGGAUCUACUGCACCUACGCUGCUGAAACUUGCACAGGUAACUUAACAAUCUCUCAAAUACAAAGUCCCAAAGGCACUUGAUGAUGGGAGCUACACAAAUGCAAAAUCCAAGGGGAUGCCUUUUUCGGCAAGCACCUGCCGGAAAAGGUAUCCCCCUGUAAAAACUGUUACGUAACAGCUCAGAUCUCCACGAUGCUUGGGCAGGCAAAGAUGUGCAUGUACUGUUGUCCAAAAUUGGACCAUACAAGAUAUUCUACUGGGACAUAAAGAAGACUGGUCCUCACCAGCAGCUUGAGAGCGAGGUAAUUAAUGCUUUCUUAAGGUUGCUGGUCAUUGAGAACAAUAAGGUCAACAUGAGUAAGGCAGUCAUGAUUGACUCUUAUGAAAUGACAGCAAUCUGGAUGGGGAGGACAUCCAAAGUUAAAAUGAGUCCAAUGGAUUUCCAAACAGUUUUGGGCAUUGUUAAUGUGCAUUACCACUGGAUGCUGAUGGUGAUCUCUCCGCAUGAGAAAAAGUGUGUUUUCCUGGACCCAAUGGGAGAGACUUCAGGAAAUAUAAAGAGAUGCUCAGAAGCAACAAGGGCAUUCAUGCGGAAAAAGGGGUGUAAUGUGUCCAGAUGGCCCUGCAGUGCUCUGCCACAUGCACGUCAGUGAGACGGUUCAUCAUGUGGCAUUCUUACUUUAAAAUUUGCUGAGUGCAUCUUGAAGGGAGUGCCAAUCAACAUCCUGACCACAGAGGAGGCUGUGAACCAGAUGAGGUGGGAUGUUGCAAUGAAACUUCUUGAAGAAUCAGACAAUCUCAGCAACCUGUGUCAUUAUUGUGGGUUGGAUGAAAAUGAAGACCCAAAUUGGAUCUGCUGUGAUAAUUGUGGGAGGUGGUACCACCAUGAGUGCGUACAGAGGCCGCCACUGCACAAGAACUACCUGUGCCCUGCAUGUAAAUAAAUGUUCAGUUCUUGCUUUUUUUUGUUAAUUGUUGUUUGCAUUUAUUUUUUUAUGUUCUUGUUCAUUUAAUUUGGAAAAAUUCGUUAUUUAUUGAUUAAUUAUUCAUUCUUGUUCUUUUAAUUUGGAGCAAUUUGUUAUUUUUUAG